rnacentral:lncRNA from 1 species
CAAGAAGUCAGGGAUUGCAAUACUAAUUCUCUCUUUAUGGCAUAUCUUUAGUGAUCUCAUGUACCUUUCAACAAAAGUGAAAUUGUUCCCUGGUCACAGGCUAAGCACAAAGCGUCUCUUACAGAGGCUGCCCUCACUCUGACUCCAUCAUUGAUAUCUUUAACUGCAGCAGAAGGAAUUCAUUUCACAGAAGCCACCACUUUGGAAAUGAAGAUGUAUGUUUGCACAGAUUCCAGAUGGAGACAGCCCCUGCCCUGGAGAGCAUUUGGUGUGAAUUUACAUCUUGAAUUGAGCUCCAUGUAAUUGUAGUCCUGCAUUCAGCUGCGAAUCCUGAAAACAACAGGCUUCUGUGAAGGAAGCUGCCCACAGGGAGCUUCAGCUACCUCUUGUCUCCUUUUAUUGCCUGCCUGCUAAACUCCUUGGGCAGGCACUACCUUUUUCAUAAAUAUAAUGCUUAGCACUAUGGGGCCUGAUCCCUCAUUGGUACUGUUAGCACUGUCAUUGUACAGAGAAAAUACAUUGUUUCAAUGUUUUUAGUUCCUCCCUUCCGGGCAUCAGGAAAGUGAACUUUCAGGAAGUAAAAUGAACAAAC